rnacentral:rRNA from 1 species
UACGUAGGGGGCAAGCGUUGUCCGGAAUUAUUGGGCGUAAAGAGCGUGUAGGCGGUCCGGUAAGUCCGCUGUGAAAGUCCAGGGCUCAACCCUGGAAUGCCGGUGGAUACUGCCGGGCUAGAGUCCGGAAGAGGCGAGUGGAAUUCCUGGUGUAGCGGUGAAAUGCGCAGAUAUCAGGAGGAACACCAAUUGCGAAGGCAGCUCGCUGGGACGUUACUGACGCUGAGACGCGAAAGCGUGGGGAGCAAACAGG